CCUACGGGUGGCAGCAGUGAGGAAUAUUGGUCAAUGGGCGCGCGCCUGAACCAGCCAAGUAGCGUGAAGGCUGACUGCCCUACGGUUUGUACACUUCUUUUAUAAAGGAAUAAAGUGAGGCACGUGUGCCUUUUUGUAUGUACUUUAUGAAUAAGGAUCGGCUAACUCCGUGCCAGCAGCCGCGGUAAUACGGAGGAUCCGAUCGUUAUCCGGAUUUAUUGGGUUUAAAGGGAGCGUAGAUGGGUUGUUAAGUCAGUUGUGAAAGUUUGCGGGUCAACCGUAAAAUUGCAAUUGAUACUGGCAGUCUUGAGUACAGUUGAGGUAGGCGGAAUUCGUGGUGUAGCGGUGAAAUGCUUAGAUAUCACGAAGAACUCCGAUUGCGAAGGCAGCUUACUAGACUGCAACUGACAUUGAUGCUCGAAAGUGUGGGUAUCAAACAGGAUUAGAUACCCGAGUAGUC
rnacentral:rRNA from 1 species